UUCUGACGCGAGCCCACGUCGCUCGCCAUUCACCGCGUCUCAACUCGAUCGAUUCGAUGUUUUAACUCGAUUUAUUCGUGUGACGAAUCAACGGUUUACUGAAGGACGUUACAGAUCAGUAUUAAAAUCAGUGUUACCUGAAGUGAUUUGUGUAGUAUUAAUGACAAGUGAAUCAAGACUGAGUUGACAAUGGGGGAGGGUAGUUAGUGACGAUGUGCACGAGGUGACGGCUGGACCAGCCGGUCUGGCUGCGAGGGGAACCCCCGGAAACAUUCCUCUACUAAAAAUACUGACCCAGGGCCCGGGAGAAAAAGGCAAGGAGAUCUGCAAAA